CGACAAAGCGGCAGCCAUGUAAACAGACUGAGGGUCAGGACUGUGCCCACGGCACCCAACACUAACGAGAGCCACAUCGUCCAGCCAAGAUGAAGCUGCGCGUUGAACUGUUUGCCUUUAGCCGGCGAGCUACCAUAGAUAAGGAAGGCUCGCAGCAGCAGUCGCUCAGAGUAGAUCUGAGCUCUGCUCUGGGCUUAUCAAUGGACGAGAAAAACAUUCUCGAAUCCCCAAUCCCCUAAAACCCACAAGUUUCAAGUUCAAAUUGUCGUCAUGGUUGCUUGUUUUUAGCACAUUUUACCAUUCAACGACGCUGUUCAUCGUUGGCUUCUUUUUUUGUUUUGGUCUAAAAUUAGAACAUUGGAUCGAAAAUAGAUCUAGCCAUCUGUUGUCUGUGACGUCAGGUGCGCAUGAGUUGUGGUCCAGGAGCUGACCCACCCACACCCAAUGUAAACACACAAAAUGCCGGAAUGCUCGAACCAUCAAAACGGAUUGUUUCGAUCGGUUUGUGGCGGUUCGUUUGGGGUUUGCUUGUACCCAUUAUCUCCCCUCUGUCUCGACACGAAAUGUCAUUGCCAAUUUUCAGCAAACUAAGAGUGACUGGUCGAUCUGUGAUCGAGAUUCUGGAGUGUUACUUGAAUGCAUGGCGGCACCCAAAAGCGGAUGACGACUGGACAAUGCCACCAAGAGUGUUUGCUGUAUCAGUAACUGGAGUUUAAAUAAUUAAUUAAUAAUGAAUAAUAUGUAUAUUUUUUAUUUAGAUUUCUGGCUGUGGAUAAGCAUAAGAGUUGGCUACACAUCACUCGAACGACAGACAUUCUCACGCAUUCUCGUUUGCACUUUUCGUGGAUAAGCAUAAGAGUUGGCUACACAUCACUCGAACGACAGACAUUCUCACGCAUUCUCGUUUGCACUUUUCGCUUGUGCAACUUGCUGGCUGACUGGAAUUUGGCAGUUUCUUCCAUUUACGGGCACUACAUUUUCGAAGAUAGCCAGAAAUUUCGCAUUGGGCGAGUCCCAGCAGCAGCUGAUUCAUGCCGGAGCCCAGAGCCAAAAUCCGUACACCAAUCAAAACGAAUCGCCCACAUAUUGAACGCUGAGUACGGCAGUUGUGGCAGCCCCGCACAACAACAACAACAACAACAACAAGUAGGCGUCCUUCGACCAUGCCAAAUUCCAAAAUUCUUGCGCCGUUCGUUGUCGAUCGUCGGUCGUCGACAUCGACGUCAUUUCGCCCGCCAUUCAGCCUCAGCCUUAGCCCCUAUCGCUGUCUCUGUCGCUGUCUCUGCCUCCUCUCCGGGCUAUACGUAAAUAUUUACACAUGUCUUACAAGAGCUGGCAAUAUUUCGCUGUCGGAUAUAGCAUCGUGGGUGGAGUGGAUAUUUGUAUGUAUUAGUAUGGAUAUGUGUGCACGGAUUACGAUUUAAAUGGAUUUGUGUGCCCCCAUAGCUCAUUGCAUUCAUUGCUCCCGCAUACAAAACCGAAACCAAUCGGACAGUUCAAUGAAGUGGCCGAAUGGAGGGCGAAGUUCAGGCGAUACGCAGUAUGCGUAUCUGAAUCCUUUUGAUUGGGAUUGCAAGCAGCGAGCCAGUUGCCAGCUGCCAGUUGCCAGCUGCCAGCUGCCUUCGAAUCUUCAGUUUGGAAGAACAAUAAAACAAAAAAUAAUAACAAUUUGGCAGCAGCGUACAAUUUGCGUCAACAGCACUUGCCUCUGAGGUUGCUCCUCAGUAUAUAGUAGAAUAUAAAUAUCUAUACAUUUAUCCAUACAUAUUCAUAAAUACUUUUGUAUGUACAUACAUUUUACAUACAUAUUUACAUAUUUAGCGUAGCAAGUGCUGCGUUUUAUAUAUAGAUCUAAGGAUGAGCCAUCAGCAUUCAUCUUCUGCGCCACAGUGCAUGCCCUGCCCAACCCCACAGCCACCCACCGUACUAAUAAUAAUCAUAAUAUUAAUAAUAAUAAUACAAAAAAAAAGAAAAAAAG